rnacentral:rRNA from 1 species
CACGUAGGGCGCGAGCGUUGUCCGGAAUUAUUGGGCGUAAAGAGCUCGUAGGCGGCCUGUUGCGUCCGCUGUGAAAGCCCGGGGCUUAACCCCGGGUCGGCAGUGGAUACGGGCAGGCUAGAGGUAGGUAGGGGAGAAUGGAAUUCCUGGUGUAGCGGUGGAAUGCGCAGAUAUCAGGAGGAAUACCCAUAGCGAAGGCAGCUCGCUGGGACGGUACUGACGCUGAGGCGCGAAAGCGUGGGGAGCGAACAGG